CGCCGGUCGCCCGGAAUGCGGCCUCCGCCCCGCCGCGCGACGCGUUGCCGGCGCCGAGCGCUCGCGUAGCGUAAUAAAUAAAGGCGGGGCACCGUUGCGUGCGCGCGCACCAUCCCGCGCCCUUCAUCCUCAGGUCAUUGACUCGUACUCCCUCGCUACCGUCGCCAUCACCGGUACUACUGCUUAGUGCCUAGUGCCGCCGCUGACGCUUCCCAACUCCACGAUCUCGAAACCGAUCCCACCACGCUCUUGGCCUCACAACUUUGACAGGGUCUCGACAUGGCCUUCUGUGAGUUAACGUUGAUCUUGAGGUGAAGUUCGGGAAAGAAGAAUCAGCGACGCAGACUUUGGUGACAAAAUGAACUCAAAACAACGAAUUUGAUCUGAUUUACAGGUACAUUCUUCUGGAAUGAUGACACAGUUGAUAUAGGACUGGAUUGUUAAAAACGCUCGACUGAUAGUGCAGAACAGCACAAAAUUCGUCAUCCCCUGACAAUCGAUCGAAAAAUUACCCUCAAUUUUAUCAGCAUGGUGGGAAGCAGCAGAACUACAGAGCCCAUGACUUACGGAGAGAGAACACUAUUAAGCAUCUACAAUUACACGAGAAUAAUUGCAAAUCGCCAACCUGCCACGAGGUUAAUGAAGACCGAAGAUGAGGGAUUUAAUAUUCAAGAAAUAAAAAUAUUGUACUUUAAUUAAUCAAAGCCAACUACAACAAUGGUAACUCUGAGGAGAAACUGGCGCCCGAUCGUCAAUUUUGUGGUUGAUAUAAAAAAAUAAAAACAGCCCCAAAAUAUAUACGUACUUUUAUUUACAAAAACCUUUACCUCUUUUCUAAAUAAAUAUGGAUUUUAAAAAUCA